rnacentral:sRNA from 1 species
UCGAUCUGCUGGGGACAAAUAAAAUGGAUGUGAGGGUCAAUGCCCCCCGCCGUCACGAUGUUACCCUCGGCGGCCAGCACCUCCGUGCCUGCCCCGACGAUCAUGGGAUCUUUCUGGUUCGUCUUGGGGUCGGCAUAAACCGAACCAAUACCGCUUUGGAUUCCGGGGUUUCCCGCAUGACCAAUUCCCACAAUCACACCCUGCUUAACCCCAAUGUCGGCUUUGAUGAUGCCGAGGACUGGAUCGAUAACUAACGCGUUGGUGAUAACCAGAUCGAGAGAUUCCGCAUCGGUGGCUGUCGACGAUUGCCCCAUGCCAUCGCG